GUAGGUUAUGGGGACAUGUACCCCAUGACGGUGGGAGGCAAGAUUGUGGGCUCACUGUGUGCCAUUGCUGGGGUCCUCACCAUUGCAUUACCGGUACCGGUCAUUGUCUCCAAU
rfam:Rattus norvegicus chromosome 4, whole genome shotgun sequence.